rnacentral:rRNA from 1 species
ACGAACGCUGGCGGCGUGCCUAAUACAUGCCAGUUGAGCGCUGAAGGUUGGUACUUGUACCAACUGGAUGAGCAGCGAACGGGUGAGUAACGCGUGGGGAAUCUGCCUUUGAGCGGGGGACAACAUUUGGAAACGAAUGCUAAUACCGCAUAAAAACUUUAAACACAAGUUUUAAGUUUGAAAGAUGCAAUUGCAUCACUCAAAGAUGAUCCCGCGUUGUAUUAGCUAGUUGGUGAGGUAAAGGCUCACCAAGGCGAUGAUACAUAGCCGACCUGAGAGGGUGAUCGGCCACAUUGGGACUGAGACACGGCCCAAACUCCUACGGGAGGCAGCAGUAGGGAAUCUUCGGCAAUGGACGAAAGUCUGACCGAGCAACGCCGCGUGAGUGAAGAAGGUUUUCGGAUCGUAAAACUCGGUUGGUAGAGAAGAACGUUGGUGAGAGUGGAAAGCUCAUCAAGUGACGGUAACUACCCAGAAAGGGACGGCUAACUACGUG